rnacentral:tRNA from 1 species
GCCUGGGUGGCUCAGUUGGUUGAGCAUCUGACUCUUGAUUUCGGCUCAGAUCAUGAACUCACGGUUGGUGGGAUAGAGCCCCCCUUCAGGCU